UGAGUUUUGAUGGCAAUUCAUCAUCUAUGCAACACACGCACUAGGUUGUACUCUCACACAAUAUUCAAUAGAAUUAGCUUUUGAGUAAAUGCUACUUGAGUGAGUUAGAUUUUGGUGAAGAUUCUUGAGUUUUUAUCUUGAGUGUGAGGAGAUUCUUGAGUUUUAGAGCGGAAGCUAGGAUCUUGAAGCUUAGUAUUUUCUACAACGAUUAGUUUUUGAGAUCUGAAAGAUCACGAGGUUCGCAACUUCUAUGCACUACUACUCACGAAGGCGAUGAAGAGUCUUCUGGCGAUGCUUAGCCAUGCUGAGAUGGAGGAGGGAUAGUAACCGACGGAGCAAGGAUGGAAGAAGCUGUAUAGUUUUCCUCUUAGUAGUUUAUGCUUGAGUCUUCUUUGUUAUCUGAAAACUUUGUUACUAAAACCCUGUUUUCGCCACUGUUUAAGUGUGCGUACUUAUUUUGGAAACUUGCUUAUGCUAUUGUAAGACACUAUUAUUAUAUGUCGGGAACGGGUUGUUUAAUUAAGACUAUGUUAUGUAUUAAA